UACAGAGGGGGCAAGCGUUGUUCGGAAUUACUGGGCGUAAAGGGCGCGUAGGCGGCCCGCUAAGUCGAACGUGAAAUCCCCGAGCUCAACUCGGGAACUGCGUCCGAUACUGGCGGGCUUGAAUCCGGGAGAGGGAUGCGGAAUUCCAGGUGUAGCGGUGAAAUGCGUAGAUAUCUGGAGGAACACCGGUGGCGAAGGCGGCAUCCUGGACCGGCAUUGACGCUGAGGUGCGAAAGCUAGGGGAGCAAACGGG
rnacentral:rRNA from 1 species